CUGGAAAUGCAGUAUAAUAGGUCUCCUUUAAACUGUACCUCAGUACCAAAACAUGUAUUUUGGGCCAUUUGGGUCCAGCUGUUUACCAAGGUCUGCUAAUGCUUUACUGUUCCUACCUGUAUAUUAGGAUGAGAGAACUGGUUACAUGUGAAAAAGGUUUGCCAAAAGCUCAUGUGAAGAUCAUAUAAGGCUGAAUUUCAAGGACUCUCACAGGAGGUUUAUGAUAAUGUCUAGCUCUGACAUGCCAAGUGCAUGAAAUAAAGAGGAGAGCAACUUUCUGCUUCACUUCACUGUAAAUAGUAAAUGGUCUGUACUUGUAUUAUGCCUUUCUAGUUUUUACCACCACUCAAAGUACUUUUACACUACAUCACACUCACCCCAUUGCCACACAUUUACACAGAAACAGAACUUUCUGUACAAUUCACAAUCACACCACUUUAGCUCACUAACCACAUUUCUUUCAUUUCCUCAUCUUAUGCUGAAAGUAAAGAGCAUAGGAUAGGUUGCUGGCAGCCUUGCAGAUACAUGUAUUCUGCAUAAUUGUGCAUCAUGCAGAGCAAUAAAGGAACUAACACCCACAAGGCAUAAAUAGUAAAUUUACACCAGCAUCCUGUUUCAAUCUGAAACAUGUAAGUAUUUCUAUUUCUGCUCAAAGAUAAAAGACAAUUUCUUUAGACACAGCAGGACUCAGGCAGGUUGAAGCAACACAGUGAGUGUUUGUCUUCAGCUGCAGCCAUGGCGCUCAGGUGGAUCAUUCUGUUCUUUGGCCUGGGACUGGCAGCAGCCAAGCUAACAGGUGACACAGAAAUUGAUGUUGAUGAAGGCCAAGACUGGGACAUCUUUAGCAUCAAUGAAGCGGCUGGUCUGGAACUGCUGGAGGGAGACAUCGUACAGGAGGAA